GUGAACGCUGGCGGUAGGCCUAACACCUGCAAGCCGAACGGCAGCACAGUAAGAGCUUGCUCUUACGGGUGGCGAGUGGCGGACGGGUGAGGAAUACAUCGGAAUCUACUUUUUCGUGGGGGAUAACGUAGGGAAACUUACGCUAAUACCGCAUACGACCUACGGGUGAAAGCAGGGGAUCUUCGGACCUUGCGCGAUUGAAUGAGCCGAUGUCGGAUUAGCUAGUUGGCGGGGUAAAGGCCCACCAAGGCGACGAUCCGUAGCUGGUCUGAGAGGAUGAUCAGCCACACUGGAACUGAGACACGGUCCAGACUCCUACGGGAGGCAGCAGUGGGGAAUAUUGGACAAUGGGCGCAAGCCUGAUCCAGCCAUACCGCGUGGGUGAAGAAGGCCUUCGGGUUGUAAAGCCCUUUUGUUGGGAAAGAAAAGCAGCAGGUUAAUACCCCGCUGUUCUGACGGUACCCAAAGAAUAAGCACCGGCUAACUUCGUG
rnacentral:rRNA from 1 species